UGAGAAGUUUUAUAGACCAUGCUUGUCUC
rnacentral:piRNA from 1 species